CCUAAUCAAGCCUGGGCAAUGGCGGGCGCCCCUCCCCCAGCCUCGCUGCCGCCUUGCAGUUUGAUCUCAGACUGCUGUGCUAGCAAUCAGCGAGACUCCGUGGGCGUAGGACCCUCUGAGCCAGUGAGAUGAACCCGGUACCUCAGAUGGAAAUGCAGAAAUCACCCGUCUUCUGCGUCGCUCACGCUGGGAGCUGUAGACCGGAGCUGUUCCUAUUCGGCCAUCUUGGCUCCUCCUCGAAAUGGGUAUGUAGAAAUUAUUGUGGAGUGACGUGGCAUGAUCUCAGCUUACUGCAGCC
rnacentral:lncRNA from 10 species